UCCCGGUUAGCUCAAUCGGUAGAGCGUGAGACUCUUAAUCUCAAGGUUGCGGGUUCGAUCCCCGCAUUGGGCU